AACGCUGGCGGCGUGCUUAACACAUGCAAGUCGAACGGAAAGGCCCUGCUUUUGUGGGGUGCUCGAGUGGCGAACGGGUGAGUAACACGUGAGUAACCUGCCCUUGACUUUGGGAUAACUUCAGGAAACUGGGGCUAAUACCGGAUAGGAGCUCCUGCUGCAUGGUGGGGGUUGGAAAGUUUCGGCGGUUGGGGAUGGACUCGCGGCUUAUCAGCUUGUUGGUGGGGUAGUGGCUUACCAAGGCUUUGACGGGUAGCCGGCCUGAGAGGGUGACCGGCCACAUUGGGACUGAGAUACGGCCCAGACUCCUACGGGAGGCAGCAGUGGGGAAUAUUGCACAAUGGGCGGAAGCCUGAUGCAGCAACGCCGCGUGCGGGAUGACGGCCUUCGGGUUGUAAACCGCUUUCGCCUGUGACGAAGCGUGAGUGACGGUAAUGGGUAAAGAAGCACCGGCUAACUACGUGCCAGCAGCCGCGGUGAUACGUAGGGUGCGAGCGUUGUCCGGAUUUAUUGGGCGUAAAGGGCUCGUAGGUGGUUGAUCGCGUCGGAAGUGUAAUCUUGGGGCUUAACCCUGAGCGUGCUUUCGAUACGGGUUGACUUGAGGAAGGUAGGGGAGAAUGGAAUUCCUGGUGGAGCGGUGGAAUGCGCAGAUAUCAGGAGGAACACCAGUGGCGAAGGCGGUUCUCUGGGCCUUUCCUGACGCUGAGGAGCGAAAGCGUGGGGAGCGAACAGGCUUAGAUACCCUGGUAGUCCACGCUGUAAACGGUGGGUACUAGGUGUGGGGUCCAUUCCACGGGUUCCGUGCCGUAGCUAACGCUUUAAGUACCCCGCCUGGGGAGUACGGCCGCAAGGCUAAAACUCAAAGGAAUUGACGGGGCCCCGCACAAGCGGCGGAGCAUGCGGAUUAAUUCGAUGCAACGCGUAGAACCUUACCUGGGUUUGACAUGGAUCGGGAGUGCUCAGAGAUGGGUGUGCCUCUUUUGGGGUCGGUUCACAGGUGGUGCAUGGCUGUCGUCAGCUCGUGUCGUGAGAUGUUGGGUUAAGUCCCGCAACGAGCGCAACCCUUGUUCACUGUUGCCAGCACGUUAUGGUGGGGACUCAGUGGAGACCGCCGGGGUCAACUCGGAGGAAGGUGGGGAUGACGUCAAGUCAUCAUGCCCCUUAUGUCCAGGGCUUCACGCAUGCUACAAUGGCUGGUACAGAGAGUGGCGAGCCUGUGAGGGUGAGCGAAUCUCGGAAAGCCGGUCUCAGUUCGGAUUGGGGUCUGCAACUCGACCUCAUGAAGUCGGAGUCGCUAGUAAUCGCAGAUCAGCAACGCUGCGGUGAAUACGUUCCCGGGGCUUGUACACACCGCCCGUCAAGUCAUGAAAGUUGGUAACACCCGAAGCCGGUGGCCUAACCGUUGUGGGGGAGCCGUCGAAGGUGGGACUGGUGAUU
rnacentral:rRNA from 1 species